rnacentral:rRNA from 1 species
AUUGAACGCUGGCGGCAGGCCUAACACAUGCGAGUCGAGCGGAUGAAGGGAGCUUGCGCCUGGAUUCAGCGGCGGACGGGUGAGUAAAGCCUAGGAAUCUGCCGGGUAGUGGGUGGUAACGUCUGGAAGCGGGCGCGGAUACUGCAGGCGUCGUGAUGGUGAAAGAGGGGGAGCGUCGGACCGCACGGUAUCAGGUGGGCCUAGGUCGGAUUGGCUAGUUUGUGGGGUAAAGGCCUACCAAGGCGAGUAUCGGUAACUGGACUGAGUGGAUGGUCGGUCACACUGGAAGUGAGACACCGUCCAGAGUCCUACGGGACGCAGCAGUGGGGAAUAUUAGGCAAUGGGGGAGAGCCUGAUCCAGCCAUGCCGCGUGUGUGAAGAAGGUCUUCGGAGUGUAAAGCCCUUUAAGUUGGGAUGAAGCGCAGUAAGUUAAGACGUUGCUGUUUUGACGGUAACAACAGAAUAAGCACCGGCUAACUACGUG